ACGGAGGAUCCGAGUGUUAUCCGGAGUGACUGGGCGUAAAGAGUUGCGUAGGUGGUAAUUUAAGCAAAUAGUGAAAUCACGUGGCUCAACCAUGAGGCUAUUAUUUGAACUGAAUUACUUGAGAGCAGAAGAGGUAGAUGGAAUUUCCAGUGUAGGAGUGAAAUCCGUAGAUAUUGGGAGGAACACCGAUGGCGAAAGCAGUCUACUGGUCUGUUUCUGACACUGAGGCACGAAAGCGUGGGGAGCGAACGGGA
rnacentral:rRNA from 1 species